rnacentral:rRNA from 1 species
AUGAUAUGCUCCUUUGCAAUCGAGUGGCACUUUGUAGACUGUGUGGCAAGACAAUUUGGAAGAAGACAAGGUAUUCCAAUUGAGGAGAGCAAGGAGGAAACGCUAUCUCUGCAUCGGUUCGAUCGAAGGAACAAUCAGGAUAUAUUGGAUUGGGAAAACAAACACCGUGCGUGGAUACAAAUUUGGGAUCAAAGAGACACGUUAGUGCAAUCAGAGAAUAGACCUCACGAUCAGUCAGCAUAUCAGAAGUAUCAAGUGUGGUAUGCAGAUCGUUACCGGUUAAAGCUAAAGCCUGGUUGGACUCACGAGGAGUGGUCGAGUUGGUGUCUGAAGACCCGGAGACUGCAGAAGGUUAUCAUACCUUCAACACGGCUGUGA